rnacentral:rRNA from 1 species
CUCCUACGGGAGGCAGCAGUCGGGAAUUUUGGGCAAUGGGCGAAAGCCUGACCCAGCAACGCCGCGUGAAGGAUGAAAUCCCUCGGGAUGUAAACUUCGUAAGAACAGGAAGAAUAAGUGGGGGACAAUACCCCCCAUGAUGACGGUACUGUUUGUAAGCUCCGGCUAACUCCGUGCCAGCAGCCGCGGUAAUACGGGGGGAGCAAGCGUUGUUCGGAUUUACUGGGCGUAAAGGGCGCGUAGGCGGUCAGCGCAAGUCAGUUGUGAAAUCUCUGGGCUUAACCCAGAACGGUCAACUGAUACUGCGCGACUAGAGUGCAGAAGGGGCAACUGGAAUUCUCGGUGUAGCGGUGAAAUGCGUAGAUAUCGAGAGGAACACCUGCGGCGAAGGCGGGUUGCUGGGCUGACACUGACGCUGAGGCGCGAAAGCUAGGGGAGCGAACGGGAUUAGAUACCCCGGUAGUCCUAGCCUUAAACGAUGAAUGCUUGGUGUCUGGGGUUAUAAAGUCCCCGGGUGCCGACGCUAACGCAUUAAGCAUUCCGCCUGGGGAGUACGGUCGCAAGACUGAAACUCAAAGGAAUUGACGGGGACCCGCACAAGCGGUGGAGCAUGUGGUUUAAUUCGACGCAACGCGAAGAACCUUACCUGGGCUAGAAUGCCCCUGACAGCCCCAGAGAUGGGGUCUCCCUGGGAAACCAGG